rnacentral:tRNA from 1 species
CAACAAGUAUUUUAAUUAUAAAAUGCUAAUUUUGGGUAUUAGUGAUGUAGAUUUCUACUUUGUUGA